CAGCAGCCGCGGGAAUACGAAGGGGGCUAGCGUUGCUCGGAAUGACUGGGCGUAAAGGGCGCGUAGGCGGUUUGGACAGUCAGAUGUGAAAUUCCUGGGCUUAACCUGGGGGCUGCAUUUGAUACGUUCAGGCUUGAGUGUGGAAGAGGGUCGUGGAAUUCCCAGUGUAGAGGUGAAAUUCGUAGAUAUUGGGAAGAACACCGGUGGCGAAGGCGGCGACCUGGUCCAUUACUGACGCUCAUGCACGAAAGCGUGGGGAGCAAACAGGAUUAGAUACCCCCGUAGUCCCUGUCUCUUAUAC
rnacentral:rRNA from 1 species